GAUGAACGCUAGCGGCAGGCUUAAUACAUGCAAGUCGAGGGGCAGCAGUUUUGUAGCAAUACAGAAGCUGGCGACCAGCAAACGGGUGCGGAACACGUACGCAACCUUCCUUUAACUGGAAGAUAGCCCACCGAAAGGUGGAUUAAUACUCCAUAAUAUAUUGAAGAGGCAUCUUUUUGAUAUUAAAGCUCCGGCGGUUAAAGAUGGGCGUGCGUCUGAUUAGGUAGUUGGCGGGGUAACGGCCCACCAAGCCUUCGAUCUGUAGCUGAUGUGAGGGCAUGAUCAGCCACACGGACACUGAGACACGGGCCCGAAUCCGACGGGAGGCAGCAGUAAGGAAUAUUGGUCAAUGGACGCAAGUCUGAACCAGCCAUGCCGCGUGGAGGAUGAAGGCCCUCUGGGUUGUAAACUUCUUUUCUUUGGGACGAAACCCCUGUUUCUACGGGGACUGACGGUACCAGAGGAAUAAGCACCGGCUAACUCCGUGCCAGCCGCCGCGGUAAUAC
rnacentral:rRNA from 1 species